rnacentral:rRNA from 1 species
AUUGAACGCUGGCGGCAGGCCUAACACAUGCAAGUCGAACGAGUGGCGGACGGGUGAGUAAUGUCUGGGAAACUGCCCGAUGGAGGGGGAUAACUACUGGAAACGGUAGCUAAUACCGCAUACCAUCGGAUGUGCCCAGAUGGGAUGAGCUGGUAGGUGGGGUAACGGCUCACCUGGGCGACGAUCCCCAGCUGGCCUGAGAGGAUGACCAGCAACACUGGAACGGAGACACGGUCCAGACUCCUACGGGAGGCAGCAGUGGGGAAUAUUGGACAAUGGGCGCAAGCCGGAUGCAGCCAUGCCGCGGGUAUGAAGAAGGCCUUCGGGUGGUAAAGUACUUUCAGCGAGGAGGCGUUACUCGCAGAAGAAGCACCGGCUAACUCCGUGCCAGCAGCCGCGGUAAUUC